CCUUCCACUCUACAGAUAGCUAUCUUAAAAUGAAACCGCUGAGCUGAGCAACCUGAAGUCCCUUUGUUUCAGGGUGUGACGCCACCCUGAAAGGCUGUUCUCACUGCUUGGAAGCCGCCAGCAGCUCUAUCCGUGCAGAGGGCAACUUCCAGCUCACAUUUCUUCUGAGAAAUGCACCGCCAGGCAUGGACGUCACUCGUUUGCUGGUGCUGAAUCACUUCGUUUUGGACUCCUCAGAAUGGUGCACACGGAGCAGCUUGAGGGAGGAGACGAGGUCACUGAUCACCUCUACAUCCGGUGUUCUACACAGACCUAUUUCAAGAUUUUUGAAUGCAGUGAGAAGAUGAGGGAAAAUUGGAGAAAACGGCGUGACUGAUGAGACUCAAUGAAACAGAAAGACCUUUCACUCACCGUUUCCCUUCUGCUGUGAGCCUUCCGAGUACUUUGAGGAAAACCAUACGGAUCUCCAGAAUUGAGACUACCCCAUGAAAAGCCAUAGGAAAAGUUUGAAUUUGAAAUGAAAUUAGAAACCCAUAUGAAAAUCGGCACUUGUAUUUUCCAAUCUGGACGUCCAAGGAAAGGUCAUACAGAAUCAUUGUAUUUGAAUCCAAAUAACUGAAUGAGGCAACAUGACAAAGUAUAUUCAGUGAUACAAGAAAAGUGGAUCCAGAACAGAGCCCUGAAGUAUUCUGUCAUAUGGAAUUUGAUCCCAGGGGAAAAGUCCAAGGAGAAGACAGAGGAAGCAGCCAUUGUGAUAGCAGGAAAUGUGAAGAGAUGGCCCUGAAAUGGGCAAAGAGAAGUGUUUGAAGAAGAGGGACUCUUUUCAACUCUGCAAAUGCUGCAGGGAAGUCAAGUAGUACAAGAGCAGAGAUGUGACUGUUGGGAUGAAACAGGGAGGUUGUCCGUGACCCAGACAAGAAUCUAGGUCUCCAUGGAACAAGGAGAGCAGAAGCCCAGUAGAGUCCAUUGAAAAGAGAGUGAGAGAUGGAGAACCAAGAGUUUGUGACCAAAGACAACCUUACAAAAAGCUCUGUUGUGAAAGGAAACAAAGACAUGGAAGAACAAAUGGGGCAUGUGAGUGGUCAAGUAAGGAGUGCGUUUUGUUAAAAUAGACAUAGCAGAGUAUGUUGGUGCAUGAAGAGGGAUAAUCAACUAGAGGAGGGAGAGUGAACGAUGACACAGGAGAGAAGGGGGAACGUUAUAGAAAAAGUGUCUUUGAGAAGGACACUUGAAUUGCAAUUUAGAACCAGAUGAGGCGGUCUGUCUUUUGAUAAGAGUAAAUAAGAAUUUUGUAAAUAUUAUCUAGAAGUAAGGCAGAGUGUACAAGGGAGGAUAUGGCAGGAUGGAAAUUUGGAUGGUAGAAAGAAAAGGGUAGAAUGAAGUAGGAGCAAAGCUCAUCAAGUGAGAGUGAACUGGGCUUGAAAUUUUGUGUGUAUUUUUUACUGAAAAUGUUCAGCUGCUCAGGUGUUUAAAUUUAACAAGAAUUGGAAUUUUUCUAGGAAAAAACACAAAGAAGAGAUGUAUAAGAGAGUCAGGUUAGAUGUUAUAUAAUACAAAGUUUACAUUACAUUAUAUAGUCUUUAUAGACUGAAUAAUCAGAAAAUUAGAUAAAAUUGAGAAAGUCAACAAGACAUGGAUGAAAAAUUUCUUCAUGGUCAAAGAAUUUCUGAAGUGGAAAUUUAGAAUGAGAAUGAUUAGUAGGACAGGAAAAGAGAAGGGAUGUGGUAGGAUUUGUAAAGAGCAAUUACGGUGUAUUACAUUUAUGGUAUGUUCCUCUCACACCAUAAAAAGAGAAAUACAAACAAGAAAAUUAAGACAGAAAGUAUUGUGACAUCCUUAGCAUCCUGCCCUUUAAAAAAAAAUCAGUAUUCAAGGAAAAGGCUACAGAAUUAAGCUGUUAUCCUUCAUCAAGAUUUAUAAUGCUCAUGAUAAAUGAGAAUGACAAUGGAUAAAUGGGGAAUGAUAAUGAUAAGUGGAUCCAAGAUUAAACAGUGAAAAUUCUGUUCACAGUAAGGUAGAACGUCAAAGAAUGUUACAUUUUUUAGAGGUAAAAAACCAAUGAAAGAAUACGUGAGUAUUUUUCUAUUACUCCUUUCUCCUAAUAUCACUGCUUCUGUUAACUCUUUGUGUUCUCUAUAUCUACCAUUUAAUUUAUACUCACUGAUUUUAAGUAUGGGUAUUCUGGGACAUUAGGGAUACUUUACUGAAGCAUAAACUGAAGUAAACACAAGUGGUCCAUUUGUAUCAUAAUUAAAUUUGACUUAAAAAAUACAAACUUUCCAGGUACAGGGUUGCAUUUGAAUUAUUGUAUCUUCCAAUAUUUAUUUCUUUUCUCCCUUUAGUCUUUGAUGUGUCUUUUCAGGUAACUUAACCUCUUCCAUAUUGUAAUAAGUUGGAAAGAGAUCUCCGAAGGAAGUAAGAAAAAUUCUAAAAAUUCUAUUAGCAAAUUCUAAUAAAAGCUUAAUUUGGUAAAAACUAAAAUAAAAUCCUCUAAAGGUCCCUUCUCUCUGU